rnacentral:piRNA from 1 species
GAUGGACAGAUGCCUGAGGCAA